GGAAUCGCUAGUAAUCGUGGAUCAGAAUGCCACGGUGAAUACGUUCCCGGGCCUUGUACACACCGCCCGUCACACCAUGGGAGUGGGUUGCAAAAGAAGUAGGUAGCUUAACCUUCGGGAGGGCGCUUACCACUUUGUGAUUCAUGACUGGGGUGAAGUCGUAACAAGGUAACCGUAGGGGAACCUGCGGUUGGAUCACCUCCUUA
rnacentral:rRNA from 1 species